AGGAGGAACAACCGCAGUGGCGGGCCAGCUCUGGAGCCCUGGAGUCAGCCCCCGCAGUAGCUCCAGAGCUCUCCGUCUGCAGGGCCUGGAGCUCCGGGCGGGG
rnacentral:pre_miRNA from 1 species